GACGAACGCUGGCGGCGUGCUUAACACAUGCAAGUCGAACGGAAAGGCCCUGCUUUUGUGGCGUGCUCGAGUGGCGAACGGGUGAGUAACACGUGAGUAACCUGCCCUUGACUUUGGGAUAACUUCAGGAAACUGGGGCUCAUACCGGAUAGGAGCUCCUGCUGCAUGGUGGGGGUUGGAAAGUUUCGGCGGUUGGGGAUGGACUCGCGGCUUAUCAGCUUGUUGGUGGGGUAGUGGCUUACCAAGGCUUUGACGGGUAGCCGGCCUGAGAGGGUGACCGGCGACAUUGGGACUGAGAGACGGCCCAGACGCCUACGGGAGGCAGCAGGGGGGAAUAUUGCACAAUGGGCGGAAGCCUGAUGCAGCAGCGCCGCGUGCGGGAUGACGGCCUUCGGGUUGUAAACCGCUUUCGCCGGUGACGAAGCGUGAGUGACGGUAAUGGGUAAAGAAGCACCGGCUAACUACGUG
rnacentral:rRNA from 1 species